CCUACGGGUGGCAGCAGUGGGGAAUAUUGGGCAAUGGGCGCAAGCCUGACCCAGCAACGCCGCGUGAGGGAAGAAGGCUUUCGGGUUGUAAACUUCUUUUCUGCGGGACGAAGAAAGUGACGGUACCUCAGGAAUAAGCCACGGCUAACUACGUGCCAGCAGCCGCGGUAAUACGUAGGUGGCAAGCAUUCUCAGGAUUUAUUGGGUGUAAGGGGCUAGUAGGCGGGAAAGCAAGUCAGGUGGGAAAACUCAGGGCUCAACCCUGAGCCUGCAUUUGAAACUGUUUUUCUUGAGUGCUGGAGAGGCAAUCGGAAUUCCGUGUGUAGCGGUGAAAUGCGUAGAUAUACGGAGGAACACCAGUGGCGAAGGCGGAUUGCUGGACAGUAACUGACGCUGAGGCGCGAAAGCGUGGGGAGCAAACAGGAUUAGAUACCCGGGUAGUC
rnacentral:rRNA from 1 species